GACGAUCUCAUUUAAAAACUAAUCAAUGUUUUGUAUCUAACAGAAAACCAUGAGAAAUAUCUGUCUAAGCAUUGGAUGACUCUACUAUAUGUUAUUCCUGGAGGAGAUUGAAGUAGGAUGAUUUUUUAAGAGUGCAAAGGAAAUAGACAAGAGACGUGUUUGGUGCUCCUGAUCAUCAGUGUGGUGUUUUAUAAGGAUCCAUUUCCACAAAGACUUCUGUGCUGAGUGAAGUACAAAGAGGAAAAAACAAUUUUUCUCCAAUUCCUUAUGAAAAAAAGGAACUGCAGCCAAUGUUUCAAAGUUGCUGAAACAUGAAGUUUCUUCCCUUGAGUAGACAACUUUGGAAUGUCUAACCCUCAAAAAAUGCCGUUAGUCAGAUGCAGAAUCUUUCUCUGGGAAAAUCACUAGUGGAAUGGGACAAAUCAGCCAGCCUGCAGGGUAAGUGCAACGCUGCAUGCUGCAAUGGAGAAGGACCUGCUGUCUUCCACACGCUAAGGAGGAAGAGUCAGUUGCUGCUCCAUCUGAAGGAGGCAGCCCCAACACUGGGCUUGGAAGGAGCAGCUGCCAGCAUGCAUCAGGCUGGAAGGGAGAAGGGCUGGACCUAGAGCUGCAAGCUAGAAGGCACAGAUCCUCAAGGAUAGGCAAGGGGCCCAGGCAAGAAGUGGCACAGGUAAGUGAGGCUGUGGUAUCUCUGACACUUACCUGUGGGUGCUGGAAGGGACCUGGCAUUGCUGAAUCUCACUGUUGCAGGAAA